rnacentral:tRNA from 1 species
UAGCUCAGUAGGUAAAGAAUCUGCCUGCAAUGCAGGAGACCCAGGUUUGAUUCCUGG